CCUACGGGUGGCUGCAGUGAGGAAUAUUCCGCAAUGGACGAAAGUCUGACGGAGCGACGCCGCGUGGAUGAGGAAGGCCGAAAGGUUGUAAAGUCCUUUUGUCGAUGAAGAAUAAGUGUGGGAGGGAAUGCCCGCAUGAUGACGUUAGUCGGCGAAUAAGCCCCGGCUAAUUACGUGCCAGCAGCCGCGGUAACACGUAAGGGGCAAGCGUUGUUCGGAAUUAUUGGGCGUAAAGGGUACGUAGGCGGUUAUGUAAGCCCGGCGUGAAAUCCUGCAGCUUAACUGUAGAAUUGCGCUGGGAACUGCAUAACUCGAGUCAUGGAAGGGAAGUUAGAAUUCCAGGUGUAGGGGUGAAAUCUGUAGAUAUCUGGAAGAAUACCGGUGGCGAAGGCGAACUUCUGGCCAAUGACUGACGCUGAGGUACGAAAGUGUGGGGAGCAAACAGGAUUAGAUACCCCUGUAGUC
rnacentral:rRNA from 1 species